AUGAACGCUGGCGGCGUGCCUAAUACAUGCAAGUCGCGCGAACAGACGAGGAGCUUGCUCCUCUGACGUUAGCGGCGGACGGGUGAGUAGCACGUGGAUAACCUACCUAUAAGACUGGGAUAACUUCGGGAAACCGGAGCUAAUACCGGAUAAUAUAUUGAACCGCAUGGUUCAAUAGUGAAAGACGGUUUUGCUGUCACUUAUAGAUGGAUCCGCGCCGCAUUAGCUAGUUGGUAAGGUAACGGCUUACCAAGGCAACGAUGCGUAGCCGACCUGAGAGGGUGAUCGGCCACACUGGAACUGAGACACGGUCCAGACUCCUACGGGAGGCAGCAGUAGGGAAUCUUCCGCAAUGGGCGAAAGCCUGACGGAGCAACGCCGCGUGAGUGAUGAAGGUCUUCGGAUCGUAAAACUCUGUUAUUAGGGAAGAACAAAUGUGUAAGUAACUAUGCACGUCUUGACGGUACCUAAUCAGAAAGCCACGGCUAACUACGUG
rnacentral:rRNA from 1 species